rnacentral:rRNA from 1 species
GAUGAACGCUGGCGGCGUGCUUAACACAUGCAAGUCGAACGAACGACUAUUAACAGAACCCUUCGGGGCGAAGAAUAUAGAAGUUAGUGGCGGACGGGUGCGUAACGCGUGGGUAAUCUGCCUUUGUCAAAGGAAUAACUAUUCGAAAGAAUAGCUAAAACCGUAUAACAUAUUAAUAGGGCAUCCUAAUAAUAUCAAAACGAUAGUGGACAAAGAUGAGCCCGCGUCUGAUUAGCUAGUUGGUGAGAUAAAAGCCCACCAAGGCAACGAUCAGUAGCCGACCUGAGAGGGUGAACGGCCACAUUGGAACUGAGACACGGUCCAAACUCCUACGGGAGGCAGCAGUGGGGAAUAUUGCACAAUGGGGGGAACCCUGAUGCAGCAACGCCGCGUGAGUGAAGAAGGCAUUCGUGUCGUAAAACUCUGUAGUAGGGGAAGAAAGAAAUGACAGUACCCUAAAAGAAAGCCCCGGCUAACUACGUGCCAGCAGCCGCGGUAAUACGUAGGGGGCAAGCGUUAUCCGGAAUAACUGGGCGUAAAGGGUGCGCAGGUGGUUUAACAAGUUAGUGGUGAAAGGCAUAGGCUCAACCAAUGUAAGCCAUUAAAACUGUUUAACUUGAGUGCAGGAGAGGAAAGUGGAAUUCCUAGUGUAGCGGUGAAAUGCGUAGAUAUUAGGAGGAAUACCAGUGGCGAAGGCGACUUUCUGGACUGCAACUGACACUGAGGCACGAAAGCGUGGGGAGCAAACAGGAUUAGAUACCCUGGUAGUCCACGCCGUAAACGAUGAGUACUAGGUGUCGGGUGAAGAACUCGGUGCCGAAGUUAACACAUUAAGUACUCCGCCUGGGGAGUACGCUCGCAAGAGUAAAACUCAAAGGAAUUGACGGGACCCGCACAAGCAGCGGAGCAUGUGGUUUAAUUCGAAGC